UACGUAGGGCGCGAGCGUUGUCCGGAAUUAUUGGGCGUAAAGAGCUCGUAGGCGGCUUGUUGCGUCUGCUGUGAAAUCCCGGGGCUUAACCCCGGGCGUGCAGUGGAUACGGGCAGGCUGGAGGCAGGCAGGGGAGAAUGGAAUUCCCGGUGUAGCGGUGAAAUUCGUAGAUAUUGGGAAGAACACCGGUGGCGAAGGCGGCUCUCUGGACCGAGACUGACGCUGAGGCGCGAAAGCGUGGGGAGCAAACAGG
rnacentral:rRNA from 1 species